GUCGUCUCUGACUGUACUGAAAUCUUCGUCAUCGUCCACCAGCAGAUUCUACGUUUCAAAAGAAUGAACAUAUUUUCAGCGUUUUUCAAGCAGAAGACAGCUGCUGACAUCCCUCCCCCACGAGAGGGCUCUGUGUCCCAGUCCCAGUGGUCUACCCUGGCCCUGAAGCCCUACAGUCAGCCUUAACACUUGGAUGGAUCAGUGUCGAGAAUGUAUUGAUGCAAUCAUGCUACACUACCGGAUGAAAGGAGAAAAAGCGUGUGCUAAGAGGAAUGGGAGGGAACGUCUCAACCUAACACGGGAGCCUACGCAAGACCCGCAGCAACACGCUUAGUGGAAAAUCAAGCAUCUUGAGUAAAGAACUCAACCUCAAAUUCACAAUGAAGCCCUAUCUGACACAUUGCCGCACCCUGUGCCAGGAAGGCCCAGUGUCUCGAGAAAGCCCCGC